rnacentral:tRNA from 1 species
GCCGGGAUGGUGGAAUGGUAGACACGCAGGUCUUAGGAACCUGUGCUGAAUAUACAGCGUGUGGGUUCAAGUCCCACUCCCGGCA